rnacentral:piRNA from 1 species
UUAGAAAAUGCAUCUACGAUGGUCAGGA